rnacentral:rRNA from 1 species
AUUGAACGCUGGCGGCAGGCCUAACACAUGCAAGUCGAGCGGAUGAAGGGAGCUUGCUCCUGGAUUCAGCGGCGGACGGGUGAGUAAUGCCUAGGAAUCUGCCUGGUAGUGGGGGAUAACGUCCGGAAACGGGCGCUAAUACCGCAUACGUCCUGAGGGAGAAAGUGGGGGAGCUUCGGACCUCACGCUAUCAGAUGAGCCUAGGUCGGAUUAGCUAGUUGGUGGGGUAAAGGCCUACCAAGGCGACGAUCCGUAACUGGUCUGAGAGGAGGAGCAGUCACACUGGAGCUGAGACACGGUCCAGACUCCUGCGGUAGGCAGCAGUGGGGAAUAUUGGACAAUGGGCGAAAGCCUGAUCCAGCCAUGCCGCGUGUGUGAAGAAGGUCUUCGGAUUGUAAAGCACUUUAAGUUGGGAGGAAGGGCAGUAAGUUAAUACCUUGCUGUUUUGACGUUACCAACAGAAUAAGCACCGGCUAACUUCGUG